rnacentral:rRNA from 1 species
AACCUCCGCAAUGUGAGAAAUCGCGACGGGGGGAUCCCAAGUGCCAUUCUUAACGGGAUGGCUUUUCAUUAGUGUAAAGAGCUUUUGGAAUAAGGGCUGGGCAAGACCGGUGCCAGCCGUCGCGGUAACACCGGCAGCUCUAGUGGUAGCAGUUUUUAUUGGGCCUAAAGCGUCCGUAGCCGGUUUAAUAAGUCUCUGGUGAAAUCCUGUAGCUUAACUGUGGGAAUUGCUGGAGAUACUAUUAGACUUGAGACCGGGAGAGGUUAGAGGUACUCCCAGGGUAGAGGUGAAAUUCUGUAAUCCUGGGAGGACCGCCUGUUGCGAAGGCGUCUAACUGGAACGGUUCUGACGGUGAGGGACGAAAGUUAGGGGCGCGAACCGGAUUAGAUACCCGGGUAGUCCUAACCGUAAACGAUGCGGACUUGGUGUUGGGGUGGCUUUGAGCUGCUCCAGUGCCGAAGGGAAGCUGUUAAGUCCGCCGCCUGGGAAGUACGGUCGCAAGACUGAAACUUAAAGGAAUU